rnacentral:misc_RNA from 1 species
GUGAGAGGGGGCUUGCCCCCGAUGACGGCGCGUCAGUCAAAACGGCGGCAACUGACACAUCGCUAUCGGGGGCAAGCCCCCUCCCAC